CACUUGAAUCCGUAGGUGAACCUGCGGAAGGAUCAUUAAUGAACUUUGAACUGCUUGUGGCUCUCGGGCUGUUGCUGACGAAGGACCCUUCACGGGUUCUUCGUACGUGCACGUCUGGGGUUGCAGCUUUCUUCGUCCACCUGUGCACACUCUGUAGGUUUGGAUACCCCAUUGGAAGGGUGCGCUUUUUGGCGCUCCCUUUGCCUUCCAGGCCUAUGUCUUAUAAACACUAUAGUAUGUAACCGAAUGUCAUUGAUUAUUGGACUUCACUGUCCUUUAAACUAAAUACAACUUUCAACAACGGAUCUCUUGGCUCUCGCAUCGAUGAAGAACGCAGCGAAAUGCGAUAACUAAUGUGAAUUGCAGAAUUCAGUGAAUCAUCGAGUCUUUGAACGCACCUUGCGCCCUUUGGUACUCCGAAGGGCAUGCCUGUUUGAGUGUCAGUAACUUCUCAACCUUCCUCAACUUUGUUGUGAGCUGGCGGAUUGGACGUGGGGCCUUGCUGGACCCUUAUCUUUGGGUUCAGCUCCCCUGAAAUGCAUUAGCAGAAACCGUUACCUUUUGGCGCGCUGCAGCUGUGAUAAUUAUCUACGGCUAUGGCUGGGCUGACUGUGUUGUAGCGCUCGUUUCGUCUCUGAAGUGGUUUCGCCUUAGUUGGUGCUUCCCUUUGCCUUCUCUCUCACGAGAGAUACCUGUGACGCGAGUGCGCGGGCUUAUUCUGCUUCUAACCGUCCCCUUGUGGGACAACUAUUGACCAUUUGACCUCAAAUCAGGUAGGACUACCCGCUGAACUUAAGCAUAUCAAUUAAGCGGAGGAUUUCCG
rnacentral:rRNA from 1 species